GCGUAAUAAGGAAUGCGCGAGCGGCGACGGCGGCGGCUGAGGCGCGGGAGGCAGGCUCCGCGCAGGCGACGGCGGCGCGGCGGCUGAGGCGCGGGCGCCGGGGCGACCGCCGCCACACACACUACCUUGCUACCUUAACCGAACGGACGCGUUGCGCGCAAUCUCGCUGUUUUGUCGGGAAUUUGUAUUUAAUUUCAUAAUCACGAACAUUAUAAGUAAUAAUCACCAGUAUUUCUUUUAUUUUAUGUCCCACAAGAGACAUAAUUUGGCGCCCCCGGGUGGGCCACGAACUGCCUAUUUCGGAAUUACGUCGUAAGCAUAGUCCGUCUGUUCCAUUGUUGUUACGUGUCACCGCAGCACCGCGCGCUACAAUAUUACAUCGCGUUGUGAUUCGAUAACCCUGAGCAGAGUCUGAGAAGCCCGAAAGAAGGCUAACACGACGACGUGACGGUCCAGCGGCACGAAAGCGGUUUCGUCCUCCAUCAUCGAGUGCCACGUCCCUGAUGUCGCUACCGUCUCCAGAGCUAAUUGACAUCAAUCCAAGAAGACUAAACAGAUAUGAAGUAUUGGAACAAAUGAGACAACACUUCUGGAAAAGAUGGCAGUCAGAAUAUGUUACUGAACUCCAGCAUCGUUGCAAAUGGAAAACCCGGUGCAGAGAUUUGAAAGAAGGAGAGCUAGUGAUAAUUAAAGAUGACAAUGUGCCUCCACUAUUAUGGCGACUUGGAAGAGUUCAAAAACUUUACCCAGGCGCAGACGGAGUGCCGCGAGUUGCUGAUAUAAAGACAUCAAGAGGAGUCAUCAGACGCGCACUCAAUCGUAUAUCCCUUCUUCUAGACGACAAUGCUUGAAAGCAGCGCUUUCAAGGGCCCCCAGUAUGUUCGCGCGCGUAAUAAGGAAUGCGCGAGCGGCGACGGCGGCGGCUGAGGCGCGGGAGGCAGGCUCCGCGCAGGCGACGGCGGCGCGGCGGCUGAGGCGCGGGCGCCGGGGCGACCGCCGCCACACACACUACCUUGCUACCUUAACCGAACGGACGCGUUGCGCGCAAUCUCGCUGUUUUGUCGGGAAUUUGUAUUUAAUUUCAUAAUCACGAACAUUAUAAGUAAUAAUCACCAGUAUUUCUUUUAUUUUAUGUCCCACAA
rnacentral:misc_RNA from 1 species